GGUCUAAAUAAUUUCCUUGUUGAUUUUACAUUAAUACUAUGAUUUUACAUUUGAAUAACCAUUGUUUCAAAAAUCAUAAAAACAAAUCUGAUUCUAGUUAUUACUAAUACAAGCAACUUUUUAUGGUUUUCUAUAUGCUUGUCUUUCACAGAUUAUUCACCCAGUGUUUAUUCACAAGAUUGACCGAAGCUUAUUUAGAUGACCAAAUUAUGAACAUUGUGACCCACCCUGAGGCUGUAAGAGUGUGCCUGAUGAGAGAAUGCGUACUUGAAGCAGUUAUAGGACUUAAUAUAUUCAAGAAGACCAAGCGAUCCUUAUAGGACUACAUGCAAAGCAAUGUACUCCAGACCGCACAACUGGACAUACAGAUUGUGCCCUGAUGCCAUCUGCCCCGUUCUCCCAGCCUCAUCUUCCCUCUCUAUGCCUAGCUUCACAUCGGUUGGCUCUUCUUUGGCUCUCUUCAUCCCGUCUGCCUGCCUCGCUGCUCUCCCUGAUAACAUUUCCUGACUGGUGCCUUGCACUCUGACUCUUUCUGCAAGGUGCCAUUCUCAGCAGUGACUCAAUUUAGUGCCACCCUGCUGCUUGGUGAGUCUCUGCAUUCUGGAAUUGAGAUUUUCAUUGCCCAUUCAAUAAACUGUUUUGUGCCUACAGUUGAGUCUGUGACUUUUUUUGACCAAGUGAUGCAUUGCACUUCUGAGGUCAUCACCAUCUUUCUUCAGCCAACCAAAAUUAUUCUCACCAACAACCCCGGCUCUGCUAACCUUGAUGUUGGAGAUCUGCUGUUUUUGAAGCAGGGGACCACUGUCCAUUAAAGGCUUCAUAAACCAUUUAACAAAAUCACAUAAGAUAGGGUAGUUCAUACUCCAUGCGAUGUGCCAUACAAUGGAAGGGCCAUGUUCCUUAUCACAUCUGGAUACUGCAAAGCUCCUGUCUCCUCAACAAUUUACGAACUAAUCAAUUAUUAAAUGAAGAAAUGCUAUGUAAAAGCAAAGAUAUUUCUUCCUGUGGAAUUUGAGUCUUAAAUUUAGUAAUUACUGUUUUAUGGCAUAAAUAAAAGUUAAAUAUUAUAUUA